rnacentral:rRNA from 1 species
UACGUAGGGUGCAAGCGUUGUCCGGAUUUAUUGGGCGUAAAGCGCUCGCAGGUGGUUCGUCGCGUCGUGCGUGAAAGACCCCGGCUCAACUGGGGAGUGUCGUGCGAUACGGGCGAACUGGAGGCCAGUAGGGGGAUGCGGAAUUCCGGGUGUAGUGGUGGAAUGCGUAGAGAUCCGGAGGAACACCAGCGGCGAAGGCGGCAUCCUGGACUGGUACUGACGCUCAUGAGCGAAAGCGUGGGGAGCGAUCCGG